rnacentral:rRNA from 1 species
GACGAACGCUGGCGGCGUGCCUAAUACAUGCAAGUUGAGCGAUGAAGAUUGGUGCUUGCCCCAAUUUGAAGAGCAGCGAACGGGUGAGUAACGCGUGGGGAAUCUGCCUUUGAGCGGGGGACAACAUUUGGAAACGAAUGCUAAUACCGCAUAAUAACUUUAAACAUAAGUUUUAAGUUUGAAAGAUGCAAUUGCAUCACUCAAAGAUGAUCCCGCGUUGUAUUAGCUAGUUGGUGAGGUAAAGGCUCACCAAGGCGAUGAUACAUAGCCGACCUGAGAGGGUGAUCGGCCACAUUGGGACUGAGACACGGCCCAAACUUCUACGGGAGGCAGCAGUAGGGAAUCUUCGGCAAUGGACGAAAGUCUGACCGAGCAACGCCGCGUGAGUGAAGAAGGUUGUCGGAUCGUAAAACUCUGUUGGUAGAGAAGAACGUUGGUGAGAGUGGAAAGCUCAUCAAGUGACGGUAACUACCCAGAAAGGGACGGCUAACUACGUG